AACGCUGGCGGCGUGCUUAACACAUGCAAGUCGAGCGAGAAACUACAUGCAGACACUUCGGUAGAAGCGAGUAGCGGAAAGCGGCGGACGGGUGAGUAACGCGUAGGCAACCUGCCCUUCACAGAGGUAUAGCCUCGGGAAACCGGGAUUAAAACCACAUAAAAUCAUAGGUUCGCAUGAACCAAAGGUCAAAGAUUUAUCGGUGAAGGAUGGGCCUGCGUCUGAUUAGCUGGUUGGUAGGGUAAAAGCCUACCAAGGCGACGAUCAGUAGCCGACCUGAGAGGGUGAUCGGCCACAUUGGAACUGAGACACGGUCCAAACUCCUACGGGAGGCAGCAGUGGGGGAUAUUGCACAAUGGGGGAAACCCUGAUGCAGCAAACGCCCGCCUGAGGUAUG
rnacentral:rRNA from 1 species